AAUCAAGCUACGAAGAGCGCAUGAUGAAUGCCUUGGCACCAAGAGACGAUGAAAGACGUGAUAAGCUGCGAUAAGCUUCGGGGAACGGCAAAUACGUGAUGAUCCGAAGAUUUCUGAAUGGGGUAACCCCACUCCUUUAAUCAGGAGUGAUCAUCGGUUGAAUUCAUAGACCGAUUGAAGUAACACCUGCUGAAGUGAAACAUCUCAGUAAGCAGAGGAAAAGAAAGAGAAUCGAUUCCGUUAGUAGUGGCGAGCGAAAGCGGAUGAGCCCAAACCGGGGGGCUUGCUCCCCGGGGUUGUAGGACCACAAUGUGGCAUUUUGGAAGUUAGGAGAAGCGAAUGGAAAAUCGUUCCAUAGAGGGUGAGAGGCCCGUAUCCAAAAACUGAAAAAAGCCUAGUGAGUUCCUGAGUAACGCGAUGCACGUGAAACUUCGCGUGAAACUGUGCCGACCACGGCAUAAGGCUAAAUACUACUUGGUGACCGAUAGUGAACUAGUACCGCGAGGGAAAGGUGAAAAGCACCGCUGUGAGCGGAGUGAAAGAGUACCUGCAAUCAUGCGUUUACAAAGUGUCAAAGUUCCGCAAGGAACGAUGGCCUGCCUUUUGCAUAAUGAGUCUGCGAGUUAGUGUCAGUGGCAUGCCUAAGGGCUUUUGGUCCGGAGGCGAAGCGAAAGCGAGUCCUAAAAGGGCGACUAAGUUGCUGGCGCUAGACCCGAAGCGGAGGUGAUCUACAUAUGGUCAGGCUGAAGCUUGCUUAACCGCAAGUGGAGGGCCGAACUGGUUAACAUUGAAAAGUUAUAAGAUGAACUGUGUGUAGGAGCGAAAGACUAAUCAAACCCCGUCAUAGCUGGUUCUCCCCGAAAUAUAUUGAGGUAUAGCCUCGCGUGCUGAGCAGUGGAGGUAGAGCACUGGAUCGACUAGGGCCCACACCCGGGUACCGAAUCGAAUCAAACUCCGAAUGCCAUUGCGUGCAACGCGGGAGUAAGUCCGUAUGGGAUAAGCUGUAUGGGCGAGAGGGAAAGAUCCCAGAUCGCCGGCUAAGGUGCCCAAAUAUUGCUAAGUGGAAAGGAUGUGAAAUUUCAUAGACAGUGAGGAUGUUGGCUUAGAGGCAGCCAUCAUUUAAACAGUGCGUAAUAGCUGACUCAUCGAGAAAUUUCGCGCCGAAAAUGAUUGGCGAUAAGCAAUAUACCGAAGCCGCGGAUACCAUUUGACCUCGGUCAGAUGGCCUGGUAGGGGAGCGUUCUGAGUACUGCGAAGCAGGAGGGUAACCAACUGUGGAGUGCUUGGAAGUGAGAAUGCAGACAUGAGUAGCGAUAAGACUGGUUGAAUUCCAGUCCGCCGUAAACCCAAGGAUUCCUGGGGAAGGCUCGUCCUCCCAGGGUUAGUCGGGACCUAAGUCGAGGCCGUAAGGCGUAGACGAUGGACAGCAGGUUCAAUAUUCCUGCACCACCGACAUUUAAGCAGUGGGAACACAGGCUCGGAGAAUAGCGGGGCGUUGAUCGUCCCUGUUUCGAAAGAUGACGCGGAGGCUACGGCUGAAGCGGAUUAUUCAAAGAGACUGUCGAGAAAAGCCACUGUGUAUACUAAGGUGCCCGUACCGUAAACCGACACAGGUGGGUGGGUAGAAUAUACCAAGGCGCGUGAGUGAAAUCUCUAGAAGGAACUAGGCAAAUUAGCCCCGUAACUUCGGAAGAAGGGGCGCCCCGCAAGGGGCCGCAGUGAAAGGGGUCAACCGACUGUUUAGCUAAAACACAGCUCUCUGCCAAGUCGCAAGACGACGUAUAGGGAGUGACACGUGACCAAUGCUCCAAGAUUAAGGGGAUCUGUCAGCGCAAGCGAAGCAUUGAACCCAAGUCCGAGUGAAUGUCGGCCGUAACUAUAACGGUCCUAAGGUAGCGAAAUUCCUUGUCGGGUAAGUUCCGACCUGCACGAAUCGUGUAACGAGUUGACCGCUGUCUCCUAGAGAAGCUCAGCGAAGUUGUAGUGGCGGUGAAAAUGCCGCCUUCCCGCAGUAGGACGGAAAGACCCCAUGCACCUUUACUAUAAGCUGUUACUGUAUUGUCGCUAAGGAUACUUAGCGUAAGUGGGAGGCUUUGAGGUAUCUCUUUCGGGAGGUACUGAGCCGCCAAUGAAACACCACCUUUUCGUAGGGACGAUACUAACCCUAGCCCGUUAACCGGGUGGGGGACAAUGGCAGCAGGUUAGUUUGACUGGGGCGGUCUCCUCCAAAAUGGUAACGGAGGAGUGCUAAGGUUCCCUCAACAUGGUUGGUAAUCAUGUGACGAGUAUAUUGGCAUAAGGGAGCUUAACUGUGAGACAUACAAGUCGAACAGAUACGAAAGUAGGUCAAAGUGAUCCGGUGGUUUAAUGUGGAAUUGCCAUCGCUCAUCGGACAAAAGGUACGCUGGGGAUAACAGGCUGAUCGAUUCCAAGAGUUCAUAUCGACGAAUCGGUUUGGCACCUCGAUGUCGGCUCAUCGCAUCCUGGGGCUGGAGAAGGUCCCAAGGGUCCGGCUGUUCGCCGGUUAAAGCGGUACGCGAGCUGGGUUCAGAACGUCGUGAGACAGUUCGGUCCUCUAUCCACUGUGGGCGCAGGAAAUUUGAUGGAUUCACUCCUUAGUACGAGAGGACCGGGAGUGACGCACCUCUGGUGUUCCGGUUGUCAUGUCAAUGGCAGCGCCGGGUAGCUAUGUGCGGAAGAGAUAAGCGCUGAAAGCAUCUAAGCGCCAAGCUCCUCCAAAGAUAAGAUUUCCCUAUCAGGGCCGUGGAAGACUACCACGUUGAUAGGUUGCAAGUGUAAGCGUUGAGAGACGCUCAGCUAAGCAAUACUAAUUACCCGACCGGCUUGAUUCU
rnacentral:rRNA from 1 species